UACGUAGGGUGCAAGCGUUAUCGGAAUUACUGGGCGUAAAGCGUGCGCAGGCGGUUUCUAUAAGACAGAUGUGAAAUCCCCCGGGCUCAACCUGGGAACUGCAUUGUGACUGUAGAGCUGGAGUGCGGCAGAGGGGGAUGGAAUUCCGCGGUGUAGCAGUGAAAUGCGUAGAUAUGCGGAGGAACACCGAUGGCGAAGGCAAUCCCCUGGGCCUGCACUGACGCUCCAUGCACGAAAGCGU
rnacentral:rRNA from 1 species